AACGCCGAUGUUCAACGUGUGAUCAGAUUUCUGUCUUGUUACUAAGAAGUUUUCAGUACUAUUCUGGUUCCUUGGCCUCCCUUGAACUCUAAAGAGGCUGGACUCGGGAUCGUGUCGUCAAACGCAUAUACAAGUUUUGAGUCCUUUUCUGUUUACGCACACUUAUUUAUGUGUAUGGCCAACAGGACACGCUAUAUAUUUUCAGAAUACUACCUCGCACUAAAAAAGGAAGCAGAUACUCGGAACGUAGUAGAACGUAAACUCAUAGCAUAGUUGGAAAGGUGGGCGUACUUUGCUCGGUUGUGAAACGUUGAAAUAGUCAAGAGACCAACCCUUUUUGGCUAAUUUUGGAACAAGGCCUAAUUAAUUUUGGUAUUUAGAAAACCAUAUGUCGCGGGAAUUUUCACCAAAUCGAUUUAGGAUAAUUUCAUGCCAACAAAUAUUUAUUAAACAAAUAUUGAACAAUUUUCACCAUUUAAGGGAGAACUAUUUCCUUAUUAUUAUGGAACCAUUUAUUGGUUUCUGCUUACUGAAAAAAAAACUGAAGUCACGAAACCUUAUUGAAUAUUCAAUGAUGUCCCGAAUCGUAAUCUUACCCAGAUUUAAUCAGAAUUUUUUAAAUUAACUGACAAUUUGUUCCAUACAAAGCGG